AAACGCCCCCAUUAUCUCUUUGCUUCGGCCAUCCGCCUCUUUGCUUCCAGCCUUCAUACUGAACCUUCAUCAUCUCCCCGCACUACAUAAUUCUGGCCCAAACUGACGGAUGCAGAUGCAGCCUUCAACAUCGCCCUCCUCCUAUUAGAUAUAUGUGAUCAGAUCUACAUCACCAUCAACAAAUCAAGUAUACAAAAUCCCCCUUCUUGAUGGCGGCCCUGUACCAACACCACUCAAAUGGCGGCAGCAGGUGAUUCACCCGUCAGACAGAACACCUGCAGAUGCCUCGCUCCACUCCACAACGGCAUGAGAGCUCGAUGUUAUAUCCGACAAUAGCUUUUUAUGUUUUAUGUCUUACUUGAUUCACUAGGCACCCUGCGUAUGGAUGGAAAUUGAGAGGGGGCCAUUUGGAUCUCAAUGUUUGUUUUGUAAUUAGCAACUGAUAACAAACUCCUGUACAUAUUUAAGGUUGCCACAUUGUCUGCUCGAUGCUUGAUGAAAUGUUAUG